rfam:Oryza sativa Japonica Group DNA, chromosome 2, cultivar: Nipponbare, complete sequence.
AAAAAGUCAAACCAUAUAUUUGCGUGUCCAAUUUUGACUGUCCGUUUUAUAUGAAAUUUUUUUAUAAUUCGUAUUUUCAUUAUUGUUAUAUGAUAAAACAUGAUUAAUAUUUUAUGCGUGACUUGUCUUUUUAAUUUUUUUCAUAAUUUUUUUAAAUAAGACGGACGGUCAAACGUUGGACACGAAACAAAUAUCGCAGUUAAA